UUUCCGUAGGUGAACCUGCGGAAGGAUCAUUAUUGUAUAACCGAGGUGCGAGGGCUGUCGCUGACCCGAAAGGUCGUGCACGCCCGAGUGCCCUCACACACAUUCAUCUCACCCCUAUGUGCACCACCGCGUGGGUCCCUCUUUGGCUUGUUCGGAGGGGGGCUUACGUUUUCACACAAACUUUGUAUGCAGUGUAGAAUGUAUUUUUUGUUUUUGCGAUCACGCAAUCAAUACAACUUUCAACAACGGAUCUCUUGGCUCCC
rnacentral:misc_RNA from 1 species